rnacentral:rRNA from 1 species
GAUGAACGCUGGCGGCGUGCCUAAUACAUGCAAGUCGAGCGAACAGACGAGGAGCUUGCUCCUCUGACGUUAGCGGCGGACGGGUGAGUAACACGUGGAUAACCUACCUAUAAGACUGGGAUAACUUCGGGAAACCGGGGCUAAUACCGGAUAAUAUAUUGAACCGCAUGGUUCAAUAGUGACAGACGGUUUUGCUGUCACUUAUAGAUGGAUCCGCGCCGCAUUAGCUAGUUGGUAAGGUAACGGCUUACCAAGGCAACGAUGCGUAGCCGACCUGAGAGGGUGAUCGGCCACACUGGAACUGAGACACGGUCCAGACUCCUACGGGAGGCAGCAGUAGGGAAUCUUCCGCAAUGGGCGAAAGCCUGACGGAGCAACGCCGCGUGAGUGAUGAAGGUCUUCGGAUCGUAAAACUCUGUUAUUAGGGAAGAACAAAUGUGUAAGUAACUAUGCACGUCUUGACGGUACCUAAUCAGAAAGCCACGGCUAACGGCGUG